rnacentral:sRNA from 10 species
CUUCGUGUGAGGAGUGCAAAGCGUCUCUUCUGGGUCGAAACAAGGACAGACUCCAGCAACGCGUCUCAC